rnacentral:rRNA from 1 species
AGUAACGCGUGGAUAACCUGCCUCACACUGGGGGAUAACAGUUAGAAAUGACUGCUAAUACCGCAUAAGCGCACAGUACCGCAUGGUACAGUGUGAAAAACUCCGGUGGUGUGAGAUGGAUCCGCGUCUGAUUAGCCAGUUGGCGGGGUAACGGCCCACCAGAGCGACGAUCAGUAGCCGACCUGAGAGGGUGACCGGCCACAUUGGGACUGAGACACGGCCCAA